GACGAACGCUGGCGGCGUGCCUAACACAUGCAAGUCGAACGAAGCAUAGCAAUAUGCUUAGUGGCGGACGGGUGAGUAACGCGUGAACAAUCUGCCCUGUACAAAGGAAUAGCCUCGGGAAACCGGGAUUAAAACCGUAUGACACUUUAGUAUCGCAUGAUAAGAAAGUCAAAUCGAUUAGAGGUAUGGGAUGAGUUCGCGUCUGAUUAGCUGGUUGGCGGGGUAACGGCCCACCAAGGCGACGAUCAGUAGCCGGCCUGAGAGGGUGAACGGCCACACUGGAACUGAGACACGGUCCAGACUCCUACGGGAGGCAGCAGUGGGGAAUAUUGCACAAUGGAGGGAACUCUGAUGCAGCGACGCCGCGUGAGUGAAGAAGGUCUUCGGAUCGUAAACUCUGUCCUUGGUGAAGAAAGGACGGUAGCCAAGGAGGAAGCCCCGGCUAACUACGUG
rnacentral:rRNA from 1 species